CGACUCGACCCUGGAUAAAGUGGAAGAAGAUGGAUGUACAUUUUAAGAGACUUUCAGUGAGAUCUUGCAUCUGUUGCUGCGCUGAAGGACGAUCCUGGACCAGUCUAGAGCAACAAGGAGUCAGAAGAAUGCUACUGAUAAAACUUUCUUGCCCUGGUGUCUUCAUUCAAGAGGGGAAUGGAAAGCAGCAUACUGUCCUGAGGAAGACGGACUGAAGAUGGCGCUGUCGUCCUGCUUCCACCGAGAGGAAGACCGCGCCAAAACCUGUUUAAAUCAGCUGACCGGACACGUCACAGCAACAUCAUGUGACUCUGAGGAAGACGCUAGUGAGCAGUCGAAACUGUCAGUGUCGUCUGCCCCGCUCCUCCCUCUCCCUCUGAUCCAGCCACAGCUCCUCAACUUUUCCCCACUUUCACUUCUAUGGUGCUUCUCAUCUUUAUAAUCCAAGUUACGUCCACAUAUCAUAAGAUGGAAGAAGAUCAAAUUGAAAAUGAAGACCGAUCAUUAUCACCACAGCCACAUGGACACAUAAAUGUCCUUGUCUUCAUCACUUCUCAACAAGACUAUAGGACAUCAAGGGGAGUAAAGUUUUUGCUUAUUACGAAUAAUAUCGACGCUGUCAUGUGGUUGAAUAUUUAAGAACUUUUAUGAAUUUACAAAAACAUGGUGCAAAACCACUGAAGACACGUCUCUGAUCUGUCUCAAGAAGAUAGAUCUGUCCAUCCAUCCUUCGUCUUAUCCGGGGUCGGGUCG